rnacentral:tRNA from 1 species
GGAGCAAUACCCAAGUGGUUAAGGGGGCUCAUUGCUAACGAGUUAGAUCAGAAAUAAUCUGAUGCAUGGGUUCGAAUCCCAUUUGCUCCG